GGCAAACUACCUUUCAACUUUGAGGACUCACCACUAACAUUUUAUCAGAACCUGUCAAGAGUCACUCUCACUAGGCAAAAAUCACCAGGCCCACUUACAAGCCAUUUAAGGGAAGAAGGAAUGGAAUACAAAUGGGGACAAACAGCUCCUUAAAUGCAACCCACAACAGGACGUGCCGUACUCUCACAUCAGCUGCAGAAGCACCUUUCUUUCUGGAAAAGCUGGGGUUGAACGCUUCAGAUACCAGCCCUGCAGCGGGACCCUCAACAGGGACAUGGAACCUUGACCCUUUUACCCUGAGCCCAAGCACCACACGAGAUCCAGUACCAUGACUGGAACAGGUUACUCUCUUGAUCCAUCACACCCGGGUCCCUGCUGGACAACACCAUGUCUAGGCAAUUCACUUACAAGUCCCAC